rnacentral:rRNA from 1 species
GAUGAACGCUAGCGGCAGGCCUAAUACAUGCAAGUCGAGGGGCAGCGGGUGUAGCAAUACAUGCCGGCGACCGGCGCACGGGUGCGUAACGCGUAUGCAACUUACCUCUAACAGGGGAAUAGCCCCGAGAAAUCGGGAUUAAUACCUCAUAACAUUUAUCAUUCGCAUGUUUGAUAAAUUAAAGCUCCGGCGGUUAGAGAUGGGCAUGCGUGACAUUAGCUAGUUGGUGAGGUAACGGCUCACCAAGGCUACGAUGUCUAGGGGUUCUGAGAGGACAUUCCCCCCACACUGGUACUGAGACACGGACCAGACUCCUACGGGAGCAGCAGUAAGGAUAUUGGG